GGGGUACCAGUACAGAGUCAAUGUGGAGGCUAUAUACAGGGUAUUACGGUACAGAGUCAACGUGGAGGCUAUAUACAGGGGGAACCGGUACAGAGUCAAUGUGGAGGCUAUAUACAGGGUAUUACGGUACAGAGUCAACGUGGAGGCUAUAUACAGGGGGUACCGGUACAGAGUCAAUGUGGAGGCUAUAUACAGGGUAUUACGGUACAGAGUCAAUGUGGAGGCUAUAUACAGGGGGUACCGGUACAGAGUCAAUGUGGAGGCUAUAUACAGGGGGUACCGGUACAGAGUCAAUGUGGAGACUAUAUACAGGGGGAACCGGUACAGAGUCAAUGUGGAGGCUAUAUACAGGGGGUACCGGCACAGAGUCAAUGUGGAGGCUAUAUACAGGGGGUACCGGUACAGAGUCAAUGUGGAGGCUAUAUACAGGGGGUACCAGUACAGUCAAUGUGGAGGCUAUAUACAGGGGGUACCGGUACAGAGUCAAUGUGGAGGCUAUAUACAGGGGGAACCGGUACAGAGUCAAUGUGGAGGCUAUAUACAGGGGGUACCGGUACAGAGUCAAUGUGGAGGCUAUAUACAGGGGGAACCGGUACAGAGUCGAUGUAAGGCUAUAUACAGGGGGUACCGGUACAGAGUCAAUGUGGAGGCUAUAUACAGGGGGUACCAGUACAGUCAAUGUGGAGGCUAUAUACAGGGGGUACCGGUACAGAGUCAAUGUGGAGGCUAUAUAGAGGGGGGAACCGGUACAGAGUCAAUGUGGAGGCUAUAUACAGGGGGUACCGGUACAGAGUCAAUGUGGAGGCUAUAUACAGGGGGUACCGGUACAGAGUCAAUGUAGAGGCUAUAUACAGGGGGUACCGGUACAGAGUCAAUGUGGAGGCUAUAUAGAGGGUAUUACGGUACAGAGUCAAUGUGGAGACUAUAUACAUGGUAUUACGGUACAGAGUCAAUGUGGAGGCUAUAUACAGGGCAUUACGGUACAGAGUCAAUGUGGAGGCUAUAUACAGGGGGUACCUCCUCCACCAAUACUACCCUCCUCCUCCACCC
ensembl:lncRNA